UGACAAGGAGUUUCUGCAAAAAAAUCCCUUAUGGUUUCCCCGCCCAAAGAAGUUGAUACUUCAAAGAAGUUCUAUUUCUUCUUUCAUUUUAGGUAUGCAAAUAAUACAUUUCAUCUAUCGACCUACAUCAAAUAUUUCAUUACCUUUUAUCAACUAGAUUAUCUUCGUCGGUAGAAAUUUCACUCUGUCUUCGUUGAUUCUCUUGGCCACUUUGACAUUCGUAGGUAGUGAUUGUUGAC
rnacentral:lncRNA from 1 species